CAGAGACGCCUCGUGCCUCAGCA
rnacentral:miRNA from 12 species